rnacentral:rRNA from 1 species
UACGUAGGGUGCAAGCGUUGUCCGGAUUUAUUGGGCGUAAAGAGCUCGUAGGCGGCUUGUCACGUCGGCUGUGAAAACCCGGGGCUCAACCCCGGGCCUGCAGUCGAUACGGGCAAGCUAGAGUUCGGCAGGGGAGACUGGAAUUCCUGGUGUAGAGGUGAAAUUCGUAGAUAUUCGGAAGAACACCAGUGGCGAAGGCGGCUCACUGGCCCGGUACUGACGCUGAGGUGCGAAAGCGUGGGGAGCAAACAGGG